rnacentral:rRNA from 1 species
CAGCGGCGGACGGGUGAGUAACACGUGAGAAUUUGCCCUUCAGUGAAGAAUACCCUCGAGAAAUCGAGGUUAAUGCUGCAUAACACCCUUCGGGGAAAAAGGUGGCCUCUUGCUGCCGCUGAAGGAUAAGCUUGCGGACUAUUAGCUUGUUGGCGAGGCAAAGGCUCACCAAGGCUUUGAUGGAUAGCCGGCCUGAGAGGGUGAUCGGCCACACUGGGACUUAGAUACGGUCCAGACUCCUACGGGAGGCACCAGUGGGGAAUAUUGCGCAAUGGGCGAAAGCCUGACGCAGCGACGCCGCGUGAGGGAUGAAGGUCUUCGGAUUGUAAACCUCUGUUAAGUGGUAACAAAGACCUGCCCUUAAUAGGGGCGGGGGAUGACGGUACCAUUAGAGAAAGCACCGGCUAACUUCAUGCCAGCAGCCGCGG